AUUAAGUGAGGUCAUCUGUGGAUGCAGGAAGUGAGGUCAUCUGUGGAUGCAGGAAGUGAGGUCAUCUGUGGAUGCAGGAAGUGAGGUCAUUUGUGGAUGCAGGAUGUGAGGUCAUCUGGUGAUGCAGGAAGUGAGGUCAUCUGUGGAUGCCAGAAGUGAGGUCAUCUAUGGAUGCAGGAAGUGAGGUCAUCUAUGGAUGCAGGAAGUGAGGUCCUCUGUGGAUGCCGGCAGUGAGGUCAUCUGGUGAUGCAGGAAGUGAGGUUAUCUGUGGAUGCAGGAAGUGAGGUCAUCUGGUGAUGCAGGAAGUGAGGUCAUCUGGUGAUGCAGGAAGUGAGGUCAUCUGUGGAUGCAAUAAGUGAGGUCAUCGGUGGAUGCAGGAAGUGGGGUCAGGCACAGGCAGAAGUGAGUUAUUGAACUGGUUUUCUCUGAGGGUCCUUUGGGAGAGAAGAAGAGACCUUAGUACUCCUCACCAGCCCUCAGUCCGGCUUGUCAAUAUUCCGAUUUGAA